rnacentral:rRNA from 1 species
CCCUUAGAUGUUCUGGGCCGCACGCGUGCUACACUGAGUGGAUCAGCGGGUCAGGUUGCGCGAAAGUGUUUCCUAAUCUUGAAAUCCGCUCGUGAUGGGGAUUGACGGUUGCAAUUUUCCGUCAUGAACGAGGAAUACCUUGUAAGCGCGGGUCAUCAUCCCGCGCUGAAUACGUCCCUGCCCUUUGUACACACCGCCCGUCGCUCCUACCGAUUGAGUGGUCCGGUGAGGCUCAUGGAGGGGCGGUUGUCUCAGCUGCCGUCGAAGUGAAAUGGACCUCACGAUCUAGAGGAAGGAGAAGUCGUAACA